AUGGCUCUAAAAAUUGAAACUAUCCUUCUUGUCAUCGUUUUUGGUGCAAUUCUUGUGGGAGGUAAUAUAAAAAUUGCUGAUGCUAAAGUUUGCCAAUUCAUAUGCAAUGGUGCAUACAUGACUUGCCCUUCUUCAGGAGAUCAACACCUCAAUCCAGCAUGUAAUUGUUGCUUUGCACAAACUGGUUGUACAAUUUUCAAAGCAGAUGGAACUCCUAUUUGUACUGCUAAUUGA